UUGGCUGACUGUUCGGCGAAUGCCUUUGUUGAAUAAAGCUCUCUGAAUUCCCGAAAGAAAAAUCGGUUGUAUUCAUUUCUCCCCUUCCUCCCCCUCUCGAACCCCACCUCCCUCUCCAAGACUAACUCCCUUUCCCAAUUCCUCCCAAAGACCUUGUAUCCAGAUCCAUGGUGGAAUAGAUCGAGAAGAGGAGCGUAACACUCGGCCACUCUCUCUUCACUCCUCAGAUCCCAGGUUACCGUCAAACCCUUGCGCUGUUGUGUAUAGGAUCAGGUUUGCUACGCGAGUGCUAGAAACUGGCGCGCAUCCAGUUGAACAUAUAAGUAGGAAGGGGAGUAGCCUCGCUGAUCUCAAUUUGUUGUGCCCUCCAGUUGUUCUGUCGUUAGUAGGAUUGAUUUGGCCUCUCUUGAGGUUCUGAGUAACUCUUCUCUUGUUCUUCUUUGAGUAAUUAGUUAAUCAUUCAUGAGUCAUCAUUCGUCUGUAUUGUAUCCUUGUAGCUCUCCUGAAACCUACAGGGUCAUUUCCCACAAAGUAAAAUAAAUAAAUCUUAUUGUCUCCACCUCACUCUAUAUGACCUCAAAUUAGCACACUUCCUGGAGUUGAAUUUUACAAUGAGUAAUGUGCAGCUUUGGGUUAUCUUUUAGAAAUGGAAGCUUUUAUUACCCCUGGCCUCUGCAUCCUAAGAUGCAUGUGCAGUUUUAGGUAACCGAGAUAUAUGAAUGAAUAUUUCAUAUAACUGAAAAAAAAUGCAGAACUCUUCUAGUAGAGUAGGAUCGGAUGGUUGUUCAUUAAGUUGAGUGCCUCUGGCUCCAUGAAUCCUUCAAAAUUACGCAGUUCUCUUGUACAAUAAAUGUUAAAAAGAUCAUCAAUAGGAGUGCAUUUCUCCUUUCUGCAUAUGUGCAGUGCAUGAUAGUUUGUAGCUGGAGUAAAAUUCCAUUGAAGCAAGUUAUUAGAAGUAAAAUAAUACCAGGCGAAGGAGGACCGAACGGAUCUACGAUAUGUACCAAAGAAAGAGAUCAUAGCUGAAAAUCGCAAUUUGGGGAUAAUAAUUAACCACUAAGAAUCGAUCUCUAAAUCUAAGGAAGCAUAUUUCUAAUAGAGAUAAACUUAUCAAAUCAUAUCCCUAAUCUAUUGUCAGGUUCCAUCUGUGCUGCUAACCCAGUACUGUUCAUGCACACAAAUAGUGGAUGUGAACUGUUACUCUAUUUUCAGCAGAGUACAUAUGCCAAAUCCUUCUAUAAAGUACAUACCAUUCGAUCAUUCCAAAACUAUAGACUUUCACACUGAACUUUAACUCUUAUAUGUCUACGACAGUUGAGAUUAACUAUGUAUCUAAUAAUGCGAAGUUAGGUCUCUUGCAUCUGUAAAAUAGAGCUGCGGCUUGUGAAAUACUAUCUUGUAAGCUUUGCAAAAUGUAUCCUGAACACCUCUUGUAGCUUGAAUUGGAAAUAUCAUCUGUUCCAGUUCAUGAAUAUAGACAGUUCGGAACAGUCAACAGCCUGCAGAACAUGUCAAAAUAAUUUCGUAUUUGAGCAUGCAUAUGGCUUGGUGUGCUCACAAAACACAUAAAGAAAUUGAUAUAUACAAGAUGAGUUGACAGAGCCUGUAACAUAUGGAAAAGACAUGCUGAGAACUCAAGUUUCUCCAAUAAUCAAAAUAAUACUAACAGAAUAACACAUUGACAUCACCCACCAGGCUGCUCUAGGUGUUGGACAUGGUGUUAUUCAUCAAUUCGUACCUCCAUAGCAUUGGCAGGUGUAGUGGACAGUCCCUCACUGGAGAUAGAUAACCAGGAAGCGGGUACCACCAAGUGACACCCUUGGGUCUUAGAGUGGAGUAUCUGCUCAGUGAUGCUUCUGCCACCAAAUGACAUCUUCUGGGAGUACCCAGACGGUGAAGGUCCUUAACUUCUAGACGAUAUGGAGAAUGCUGAACAAAUGUUCCCUAGGGUGAAUGAGAAAGCAAGCGGCUGAGGGAUGCUAGAGUGUGUAAUGAAGAAGAGGAGAUGCCACUACAUCCAUCGCAUAUGUUUCCACUUGCCGAGACAAGGGAGAGAGAUGAGUAAGGGGAGAUAAUAAGGCACGGGAGGGAUGCCAAGUAGGGCCAAUAAAAAAUCUUGUAAUGAUGUAUUUUUUUUAUUUUGGAUGUGGGGAGCUGAUGUGGCUGCCACAUCAGUUAGCCAAAGUCCACCUCAGCUCAAAGCUACCCUUCUAUUGGGGCAAAGGGUACAAUGUUACGGUACUGAGGGUUGGACUUGCAAAUAAAACAUCAUUGAAACUGGGUUGCAAUUUGAACCCGCGGAAAUAAUUGAUGAACGAAACAUGUAACUUUUUUAUUCUAAUACCCUUUGCUCAAUUCUGGUUAUCAACCUUGGGAGAAAGCUUUGUUUCUUUGGUCAUCUAUAGAGCAUCCUCUUCAGCAACAGAGGAACUAUAAUCAGUGUAAGAACCGAUUCCACUAACAGUAAAAGCAGAACAUCUCUAUAAUACAUUAUUUUGCGACAAUAUAGAAAACACCAUCUUCUUUUCAGCUCUUCUUGUAGAAGUCCGGUUUUUAGCCCUGAACAUUUAACCUUCAACAUUACAAUCCAAACUAUGAAAACUGUCCACUGAUCUGCUCUGUUGACAGGCCUGAACAAUGAAAAACUGAGGUAGCUCGUGGCCUUCUCAAAGCAUCUCCGCCCUUGCCAUGCUGUCACCAUCAAUGGGUCUAAUGACUAAAGGAGAUGUACAUGUUGCGCCUUUUCGGCCACCCACUGUUGUCAUUCGAUCCCAGGGGCGAUGCCCUGAUCUAGAUGCCACUAGCUCCAGUGCUAGUGGACGCUAGAACUCUUCAGAGACGGUUCUCCAGGGUCCCCGGCAUGACCAUCGUGUUUCUUUCAGCAUCAUUGCUGCUUAGCGAGGAAGUCUAGAGGGGGAGAUGCUUGAUUGGAAAGGGUUGGAGUAUUAGAGUGAAAUGUGGCCCCAGUGCCCACAACACUUCAUUUCGUUAUAUCAUUAUGGUAUUAUUGCUUUGGUCACUGCAUAAGGGAUAUUGUGAUUUAUUGUAUCACAUUCUUAAUUUUAUAUAUAUCCAGUCAUUAUUAUGGUUUAUAUUUAAUGAUUCCGCAUGGUGAAAAAGUUGCCGCGGUUACUUUUCUAGGACUAGUGUAUUACAUCAAAUAG
rnacentral:lncRNA from 1 species